UACCUGGCUUGAAAUUCAUGACUCCUGCUUAUGGACAGUGUCCUCCCUUCCUUAUAGCUUUUACUUAUUACUUUUUUUAGUAAAUGUAUUAUAGUGGAAGGAAUUACCAUGACAGCUGAGGAUAAAAGUGUCCUUGACAUGAGCUGUGAAAACCUGGGAAGCAGCCCACCUUUCUUACCUCUUCUCUCAUUUGGCUCCUACUGACUGUGGGGAAGAUGAAUAGCGGUGGCUGGUGGCUGUCAGUGUUAUCACUUGGUGCCAGGUGAUACAGUAGUAGGUGAUACGUAACAGGUCUUUCCAACAUAUUUCUUCCUGCAUGAGUAGGAAUCACAUCCAUACCCUGCUCCCAGCGCCAUGGAUUUGUGCCCGAGACCACAGCAGUUCUCAUGUACAUCAGGUCAGGUCAGGAAUUUCCUGAGCUAGAAAACGUAUCCGUGACUUUGGAAAGUGGGCCGUGUGCCCCAGACAAGUGGUUUGUGAUGUGAUUGUCCCAUUCAUUGAGCUGGCACCAAUUUGAGCAUUUUGAUCAAUGUAGA